rnacentral:lncRNA from 1 species
CUAGCGGUAAGUUUUAUGCCUUUGGUGGGUGCAUGCAGAUACGAUAUUGGCGCUUGAGGGUGCCUGCACCUGCCUGGGCACCGUUCGCCUGGGGACUUCUCCAAAUCGUCUUCAGACGGUGUCACCCACCCAGGCUUAAAACUUCUUGGAACAGAGAAACGAGUAAGCUUUGGUGCACAUUCCAUUUAAAGCAGUCGGAUGAGUCGCCUCGGCACGUGCGACCACAGAAUUCUUUUUUCCCUUGUUGUUUUCUUAGGUUCCAUGUAAAAGGAUCGACUGCCUAGGGCAGUUUGAUAAAUGGAUCCUCGCUUUGGAUAAGUGUAAGGAAUUGUUGGACUUAAGCCCUUAGAUCUUCCUGCAGGAGUUUACUGUGUUUUUUGUCUGCCCCGAUGUCAUGGGCAACUCAAAUCUGGUUUUAGAUUGUAGCCUAUUAGGAUGUAUCUUUUUGAGUUCAACUACUUUAAAUUAUGAGCCUUUGAAAAGGAAGAAAAUGAUCUCUUUUUGUUGCUUGGUUUUAAUGGGCUUUAGCUGUGGAGGAAAUGGUCCAUGAACAGGUCCUUAAGUUAUCAUAUCAUCUGACAAUAUAAAUUUAUUUUGUAAGAGAGAAGGUAAGUGGAAAGAAGUUCCAUAUGCACUUCUUCAUGUUAUAUCAAAAUGAAGCUGCUCACGGAGAUAGCAAAUCAUGGUUUUCAACAGGCAGGAAAACCUGAGCCCAGACUUUCUGGUACAGAAGGGGAGAAAGACGAAGAAAUAACUGCUCCAAAUCAACCAAUAGCCCUUCAUAUCAGAACAAUCGAUCCACCAUGGAAGAUUUAUUUGUCUCCAUUUUUGCUACUUAUCAAUCAACCCACCAGGGCUGACACUCAGGCUCUGGUGAAUAUUAUGAUAAUGACUAGAGCCGCAUGGCUCUAUCUAAUCAUGCUAGAGCAGAACCCCAAAAAAGAUGUCCAUACAAUUGAGCCCAAUUUCAACAUAAUAACCAAUGGAUCGCCAUAUCUCAAAAAUUAUAGUAGAUGCGUGCUGACAGGACUUCAAAGAAAAGUCCCUAAAGUAGAGAUUCUUAAGAGUGUUCAAGAGGUUAAACAAAAACCUCAGGAGGAUCCUUCAGAGCUCUGUCUAUUAAGAAUACCAGUGCUAUAUGGAUGCCAGUUCUGAGGCUCCAGAAAACUUUAAAAAAUGGUGAACAUUAACUUCUCAGCCAAAGAAUUUCUCAUAUAACAAGGAAUGGAUGGAGCUUUAGGGAUGUGUGCUUCACACAUUGUACAAAUAGUUUUUUUCUCUGCAUGGAGCCAGAGAGGGAUAGGCCUGGACCUGGGAACUUUCCGUUGUUUUCCCGGUGUCAAUAGAUCGCCUAAAGCACGUGAACUUCCCCUCCGCUCUGCUAGAAAUGCCCCUCACAGUAGUACUGGAGAUGGGCAUAUCCUAUUAAGAACUAAACAGCCCAGCUUUAUCCUAUUUUGGUGGAGAACAUUCUAUGGUAAGGCCUAUGUAAAUAAGGCAGGCACAGGCUCCAUUUUUGUGGAAAAAGCUAGAUCCGGCAGAUUAGCUUGCCCCCCCCCCCCCCCCUGCCAUUUCUUUUCUUUCCUUUUUUUUUUUUAAUUUUUUUUUUUAUUUUUAGAUGUUGAUGGACCUUUAUUUUAUUCAUUCAUUUAUAUGUGGUGCUGAGAAUCGAACCCAGUGAUUCACACAUGCUAGGCAAGUGCUGUACCACUGAGCCACAACCCCAGCCCCUCUGCCAUUUUUUUUAAACAUUAAAAGAAUGAAAAUUUGGGCUGGGGAUGUGGCUCAAGUGGUAGCGCGCUCGCCUGGCAUGCAUGUGGCCUGGGUUCGAUCCUCAACACCACAUACAAACAAAGAUGUUGUGUCCGCCGAAAACUAAACAAUAAAUAUUUUUAAAAAAUAAAAAUAAAAAGAAUGAAAAUUUGCUUGUUCCACAUGGCUCGAACUUACCUUUUGUUCAAAGCCUGAUAGAAUCAAUAUCUAGUGAAGCUCUGCCACAUUAUGAUUGGGUCACACUAGCAAAAGUGCAUCUUUCCAGAGGCGCUUGUUUACUGUGGAGGUCUAAUUGGGUGGAUUUCUGCUCCAAGCAGGCAGAAGUUAAUAGAAGGCAUGGAAUUAAUAUUAUGGUAGACAUGUUGACUAGUACAGGACAAUUUACUGAUUGGGAACAACAGUUAAAUUUUGAUUUGCAAACUUAUAAUCAGAUUAGUGCAUGUGUCAGAAGGGCAUGGAGAGAAUAGAAUCUCUCUACCCCCUGCUGUAUCCUACACCAUUAGAAAAAUCAAAGCCCGGGCUGGGGAUGUGGCUCAAGCGGUAGCGCGCUCGCCUGGCGUGCGUGCGGCCCGGGUUCGAUCCUCAGCACCACAUACAAACAAAGAUGUUGUGUCCGCCGAGAACUAAAAAAUAAAUAUUAAAAAAUUCUCUCUCUCUCUUUCUCUCCCACUCUUUCUUUAAAAAAAAAAAAAAAGAAAAAUCAAAGCCAUUGGUGGGAUCAUUCUGACAGCCAGCCACAACCCAGGAGACCUAAUGGAGCUUUUGGAAUCAAAUUUACUGUUUUUUAACAUAGAACCUGCUCCAGAAGCAAUUACUGAUAAAAAUUUCCAAAGCUAUCAAACAGUAUGAAAUUUGCUCUGAUCUGAAAGUGGACCUUGGUGUUCUGGCCAAGCAACAGUUUGACCUGGAAAACAAGUUAAAGCCUUUCAUAGUGGAAAUUGUGAAUUCAGUGGAAGCUUAUGCCUCAAUGCUGAGAAAUAUCUUUGGUUUCAAUGCACUGAAAGAACUUCUUUCUUGUCCGAACAGGCUAAAGAUCCAUAUGGAUGCCAUGCAUGGAGUUGUGGGCCCAUACGUAAAGAAGAGUCUCUGAAGAACUCGGCACUCGGCACCCCAGAAAAUUCAGCAGUUAAUUGUGUUCCCCCUGGGGCUGGGGAUGUGGCUCAAGCAGUAGCGUACUCACCUGGCAUGCGUGCAGCCCGGGUUCGAUCCUCAGCACCACAUACAAACAAAGAUGUUGUGUCCGCGGAAAACUAAAAAAUAAAUAUUAAAAUUCUCUCUCUCUCUCUCUCUCUCUCUCUCUCUCUCUCUCUCUAAGAAAAAAAAAAUUGUGUUCCCCUGACCCCAACUGACCAAGAGGAGACUAUGAAGUCUGGAGAGCAUGACUUUGGGCUGUGUUCAAUGGAGAUGGGAAUCAAAACAUGAUUCUGGGCAAGCAUAGGUUCUUUGUGAACCCUUCAGACUCUGUGGCUAUCAUUGCUGCCAAUAUCUGCAGCAUUCCAUAUUUCCAGCAGACUGGGGUCUGUGGCUUUGCACGCAGCAUGCCUACAAGUGGUGCUCUGGACUGGGUGGCUAACGCUGCAAAGAUGGCUUUGUAUGAGACCCCAACUGGCUGGAAGUUUUUUUGGGAAUUUGAUGGAUGCAAGUAAACUGUCCCUUUGAGAGGACGAGGGCUUUGGCACUGAUUGUGAUCACAUUUGUGAGAAAGGUAGACUGUGGGCUAUCCUUUCGGGGCUCUCCAUUCUUGCCACCUGCAAACACAGUUCAAAGCAUAUUUGCAGAGAUCAUUGGCAAAAGUAUGGCCUGAACUUCUUUACGAGGUAUGAUUACGAGGAGGUGGAAGCAGAGGGUGCAAGCAAGAUGAGGAAGGACCUGGAGACUCUGAUGUUUGCUCCUUUGUGGCGAAGCAGUUCUCUGCAAGUGACAAAGUCUACACUUUGGAGAAAGCUGAUAACUUUGAAUUCAGGGACCCCAUGGAGAAAGCAUUUCAAGAAAUUAGAGCUUGUGAGUCACUUUUGCAAACAGUUCUCACAUCAUCUUCCAACUAAAUGGCACUGGGAAUGCAGGGCCCACCAUUCGACUAUACAUUGACAGCUUUGAGAAGGAUGUUGCCAAAAUCAAUCAGAACCCCCAGGUCAUGUCGUGCGCCCCCGCCCUCCACCCCAACUUAUUUCUAUUGCUCUAAAAGUGUCCCGGUUCCAGGAGAAGACAAGAUACACUGCACCCACUGUAAUCACCUAGGAAGACCUGCCAGAUGCUGUAUGUCCUUCCAUCCCAGGACCUAUCCAUGUCAUCUGAUUGAAGAAUAUGGACAGAAACAAAGUGUAUCUACCCAGAUUUUUAGGAUUUGAUUUUUCCAUUUCAUAGUUGUUGAUAAACAGCACAUUGCAAAGCACUUCCAAUUGAGUCCCCUCGGGAGCUGUGUGAGAGAGGGAAGAGGACCCACAGGUUUAUGUCCGUUCCUUUUCAUGCCCUUCUAGAAGCACUGAGGCUGUGUGGGUAUCUCUCCUUAGCAUCAGACACUGUUUACACAACAGUGCAAGGUGGAGGCUGAGCAUCAGCGAGUGAGGCCAGCUUUCUUCUUUAGGAUGUGCCUACAAAAUGACAGCAGAAGUUCCAUUCUCCUUGAUGAAUAUUUCCCCCAGUUUACUGUCUACAUGUAAUCCAACAAAAUGUAAUUUCCGGUGCCUUCUCUCCAAUCAGUUUUCCUCUAAGUGAGACAUACUUGUCUACAGAUUCUGACUUGUUUUGUAGCACAGUCCCAUUUGCACAGAUAUUUUGGUAUAUUAAAGCAGAAUAAGAAACAAAAAACAAACAAUAAAAAAGGCUGGGGAUGUGGCUCAGUGAUUAAUUACCCAGGUUUAAGCCCCAUUAAUCUCCCACCCUCCCCCAAAAAAAUCUAUUCUUAGUGAUUUUAUAGUCACUAUAUUGUCUUGAAUUUAUUGCUUCUUGUCUAACUGCAAUUUUGUAUAAUUUGACCAACUUUCUUUGCAAAAAUGCCCUUCCUAUAAAAGUUCUUGAUUUAUUCUUCAUACAAGUUGUUUGCUAAUUCUAUCAUGAAUGUCUUCCUUCAGACUACUACUUACCUUUUCACUUUCUU